ensembl:lncRNA
UAUCUCGACUUAAAGGAGACGCAACAAAGAGCGACAGCAGUGGGCCCUGCUAACAGCGUGGCUUACUAUAGCUUUAAGAACUUAAAAUAGGGUCUGGGUCUUUAAAAUUAAUUUUGCAGUUAUUAUAGAGAUUAUAGACUAAGUUUUCUAUUUAUACAACUUACAUUUGUGUACAAGGUUUGCAAAGAGAAGUAAGAGCGUCCAUUGAAAUAUGUUUGACAAUUGGAUCAGUGCCUUUAGCAACCCAACAUUUUUCACAUUUUAUGCCUCCUGUUUAUUUGAAGCCGUUGCAUUUUGUUGAGCAUUUUUGAGGCGUCCUGGAGUACGAGAAAACAAGUUUAGCGGUGAUGGAGCCGCAGCUCUCGAACAACAAAGAGGAGGUGGAGAAUGAGGCGGCCCUGGAGAAAUCCGCGGGGCAGAGUACCUCAUCCACCCCGUGCAGGGCAUUCAGAGGACGGGGCGACGGGUGUCUGACGACCGAAGGGACUUGCCCACCCGAGACAAACGGAGCUGCGCCGAGCGUGGCGGGAUCCGGGCGGGUUUUACGGGACAGGUCAACGCGAGCUAUUCCCGUGUGGAGGCAGAGCGAUAUCGGGGAGGACCGAGGUGAAGUGACACGCGACGCUGCGGCGAAUCGCCGGAGGAAAGCGAAGUGCCCGCGGCGCAGGAAGAGCGCAGCAGCCGCUCAGGGUUCAUCUUAUGCGGCCAGAGACUUCAGCGGCGAGUGUGACCUUCCGGAUGAGUUUGAAGAAAACAAGGAUGCGCUGGUUAAUCGAGCGGCCCGCGGCAGACAGGUGCGCUCAGGGGCCCGCACCUGCCGGGGCUCGCCUAGGACUGUGUUUAAAAUUGAACCAGAAAUGGACAUUGACUAUGGUACGCUGCUGAGCUUUUAAUGUAGUAGACUGAACAGGUCCACUACAAAUGCUUGAUCAAAUACACACCACAAAAAUAUAUAAAUAACUAUAAUGGUUGCAAAUUUUGCUUGCAGUGGAGGCCAAUAAAGCGGUCGAAAAGACAGGAACAAGGUGAUUGCACAUUUAUCAUGAGAACACAUGGACACUUUCUCAUGAAAGACCCCAUGAAAUCAAAGUUGGAGUUUUGUGUUUUAUAUGCAUUUAAUAUGCAUAGCAUUUCUAUUCCAUGAAAAAAUGGGCCAAAACUAUCUUGCAUUACCUAAUGUGUUCAAAUUUCUGUCCUCCAUUUAGCAAAAGCCGGUAGUGCAUCUUCAUUUACGCUGUGACGUCAACUUAAGGCUAUUGGCUGUUUGUUAAAAAAAAAAAGACAAGACCAGUUUCAAUACUGGAAAAAAAACAGUGCUCGUCAAGCCAUUUUGUGGGGUCUUUGAAGACACUGAUGGCUGCUAGUGUUUUGGAGUUGGUCUAACAAGCCCUAUGUUUGUUAACUGCCAUAUUUUAGUGUGGAGAAAAAGGAAGAGGAGAGCAUGGAUGAUGAUGUUAUAGAAGAGGAAGAGUGUCCAUUUGUGGAUGAUCCAAAUGAUGAAACCUACCGACCCCAUUCACACAGGUAAUGUUGUACCUUGUGUACAUAUACUGAUUGUAGUCAUUUGGAAUUGACAUUAAU